GUUGGGAUAGCUCAGUUGGUAGAGCAG
rnacentral:tRNA from 5 species